AUUUAACAGAAAUAGGAGAUCGAUUACCGAAAACUGUGUUUUUAUAUAAGAAAAUAUGGUAACAUGAAAAAGAAAGAAACUAAGUGUAGUAGUCGGGAGCAUUGCUGAAGUCAAGUUUAGAGCAGUAGCAUAAGGAAUAUGUGAAGAACAAGAGCUAUAUGUUACAAUAAAACUUUCAAUCAAACUCUAUUGUGAUAACAAAGUUGUAAUCAAUAUUUUCCAUAAUCCUGUACAGCAUGAUCGAACAAAAUAUGUAGAGAUAGGCAGGCAUUUCAUCAAAGAAAGGGUUGAAGGAACUAUUUGCAUAACAUACGUUCCUACAUAAGAACAACAUUUUCACCAAAGCACUACCUCGACAAAAAUUUGAUGAUUUGAUGCACAAGUUAGAUAUGGUCAACAUUUACCACUUGAGGGGGAGUGUUGAAAUCCGAUAUUGAUUGGCAAAAUCAUUGAAGAGAUUCCUACCUACCUUAAUUAGCAUUGUAUAUUUAGAUAGAUUGUUUAGCACAUUUUAAGAGAUUUGUCUUUUCCUUUUUAUUCCCUUUCUUGUACCAUAAAAAAGGAUCAUUAGGCUGUACAAUAUAUCAAGAAAUACAGAAAUAAAACAUUCUGAUUUCAAUAUCAUUGAAACCCAUGUGCCAUCAAUUUUUGUACAGAUAUCUUGUGUCCUGAGGCAUCACUAUUUCAGCAAGAAACUAAGGAUAGGAAAUUCGGAAUCACAUGUCAUAAACAUAUCAAAGAAGGAUUUUUGGAGGCAAAAUUAUCAAACCAAUUCAAAUGAAUCAUAGAAAAUCUCAAAUGGCAAAAGUUGG
rnacentral:lncRNA from 1 species